UACGUAGGGGGCAAGCGUUGUCCGGAAUCAUUGGGCGUAAAGCGCGUGUAGGCGGCUCGGUAAGUCUGCUGUGAAAGUCCAGGGCUCAACCCUGGGAUGCCGGUGGAUACUGUCGAGCUCGAGUCCGGAAGAGGCGAGUGGAAUUCCGUGGUGUAGCGGUGAAAUGCGCAGAUAUCAGGAGGAACACCAAUGGCGAAGGCAGCUCGCUGGGACGUGACUGACGCUGAGACGCGAAGCGUGGGGAGCAAACAGG
rnacentral:rRNA from 1 species